rnacentral:tRNA from 1 species
GCCUUUUUAGCUCAACGGUAGAGCAACUGUAUCGUAAACAGUAGAUGUCAGUUCAAUUCUGACAAAAGGCUCAA